CCCCUCGGGCCGCCGCCGGCGCCCGGGGCGUCCGGUUCUGGCGGCGGUGGGGCGCGGUGGGGAGCCGCUUCCAGAAGGUUCGGCGACUGUUGGGCGGUGCCGAGCGCGGCAGCCGCGUGGAUCAGCCUCGCCCCGCGCCGCGCGUGUCCGCGGGGGGGGAGGGGCCGUCCCGGCAGCCGACGCUGGGCGGUUGCGGAUACAGCGCCCCGGGAGGUGGGCGAGCCCGGGCUCGGAGGCCCUGGGGCUGGAGUGCGGCAGGAAGGCCUGCGGGGGUCCGCCUCCGGGGCUUGCACUCUCGAAUCAGCCCCUGACGGGAAAUUGGAGGUCCCCCCACCCCCCCGUAAACGAGCAUUUAUGGCGGAGCUGCUGGGUAUUGUGCUGGGAAGGCACGUGGGUGCGCAGAACCCGGAGUCAGGAGCCGGCGAGCUGGGCUGCAGACGACCAGGGACCCGGGAUGGCCUACACCGCCGGCUGCAGGCAGGGAAUCUGCCUACGCGGUCCGCUGCAGACCGCCUCGAGCUUCGUGCAGGAUUUCCUGGAAGCCCUGAGCUUUUGCUUGGGGGUGUGCGUGCGGGCGGCGGUAGGGCGCCCUAAAGAUGUCUUCCCAGACAGUCAAUGCAAUGGAACAAGUCUUUACUGGGGCCCUGCCCUUUUUGUAUAGGUGAGAGCAUUCCCAUGAAGUUGGAUACCUUUUGUUCUUCGAAAACCUCAAAAAAUCUGAUUUGGAGACAAAUCCGGGACACAAGAAACCUGACUGUGACCACCUGCUGAACCAUAUUCCUAGACUAGGGAAUGGGCUGAAUGGUUCAGGAUUAAAUAGACUGGUCCCUCCCAGAGGGAGACAAAAAAAGA